CUCGUCAGGGAAUUUCCCAGGGAAUGUAUCAGGGGAUGUAUCAUGAAUCAUGGGAAAUUCCCUGACGAGGUGACAGUUAGACACGACACCACUGUCGCUGUAGAUGUAGAGAAGCGUGUUUUGUGUUGCUUUUCCAAAGUCGCUGGCCAAUGGGCUGCCUAGUAUUCAUAUUGCGUAAUGCAGAUGAAACGUAAACCAAGCUGAUUACGAACACAGCAGUCAUUUUGCUGCCUGGCAGAGGGGAGACAACACGUGUCUGGGACCGGUCUCUGAUGAUUAAUAACAACUGCCCCCACGAAGUCAACGCACUCCCCUGCACUUCGAACGCAGGACAGUGAAGAAGUGAAACCUAAUGACGGUUGAUGAUUGACAGGACGCCUGUGAACCUGACAUCUUGCUAUAUUGACGGUUAAUUGAAAACGUGACAAACCCUGAUUUCUCCGAUGACCCCGAUAACCCGAUGACCCCGGGGCAGAGAAAGCUGACAUAGCUUGAUACAACGUUUGCCGGCUCCCACGUUGUUGUUUUUUUCAACAUUUCCAAACUCCCCCUUUUCCGCUAUGGAAUAACCCAUGGUCGCUGGCCAAUGGGCUGCCUAGUAUUCAUAUUGCGUAAUGCAGAUGAAACGUAAACCAAGCUGCUUACGAGAACAACAGUCAUUUCGCUGCCAGACAGAGGGGAGACAACACGUGUCUGGGACCGGUCUCUGAUGAUUAAUAACAACUGCCCCCACGAAGUCAACGCACUCCCCUGCACUUCGGGGCUCAUCAUAAAGAUAAACAAGAUCAAAAGAAAUCGGGCAAAUGAGAUCCACACGAAUUCAAGGGACGUCGGUGGCUUUCACUGAAAGACGAGCUGUAUCACUGAAGGGAAGGACAUCCGUGUGCAAAUUGCUACAAGGGGAUCGAGGCUGAGAGCCAUAUGCAAAACCCGAAACAACGUCGCCCGAAGGAGCAAGGCCAUGAGAGGGAAAUGCCAGACCGGCAGCAGAGCCGCGGGCGGCCAACCGAUUGCGCUGCUUUUGAGGGAAAAACUGAGUGCAGUUAGAGAAUUCAUGGACUGAUGUACACGUGCUAUCUGCGUUAUUUGACUUAUACGAAUACGUGUUGUCUAUUGUAUUAGGUCAUAUUUAGUAAUGUAAAAAAUAAUUCAAUUCACCUAGACAACGAUGGAUAUACGAAUGGUGGACAUCCUAACCAAACGUAUAUGAAAACUUUAUUGACACGACAAAAGUACAGCGACUUUCGUGAGGAUUAUAACAACUAUUUACAGUACAGCUAAGCAGACGUAUAUGCAUAUUUACAGAUAUGAAUAGGUCAACAUGCUGUUUCUAGCAUGUCAUUUACAUGAUUCGAACAUUGCCUGCAAAUGUCUUGAGUUACAAACGAACUUUUACCAAUCUAACGUUUGCGGGAGUUUCUCAACGAUAAAAAUACACGUCCGUGCAGCCGUUUACUUUUGGGUUGUAGCAGUCGUUUACUUUUGGGCUGUAGCAGCCUUUCACUCCGUCACUUACAAGAAGAUACAUCGCAACGUUUGCUAGAUGUAAUUAGUCUGUAGUAUUGUACUAUGAUUGUUAUUCUUGAACGGUUAUUCGUUUGAUGACGUGAACUGCAACAGACCGAGAUGUACUUAGUCUAGUAACAUGAGCGAUAUUGUGUAGCUGUCUGUCAGGUAAGGCAGAAUACAAAGACGAGAGAUUUCUACGGCAGUUCAGGAGAGCAGACAUUUGUCUAAGUACUGAGACAGAAUGUGAAUACAAGAGAUUUCUAAGGUAAGAGAGUUCAGUUCAGGAGAGGCAAUAGAGAACUUCAGUUAAGGCCAAAGAGAGAUAGCAUUAUUAUGAAGUCUAUUAUAUUGUUAAAAGUCUUCUGUACCCAGCGUGCGGAAA